ACUGACUAUGAGACACUUUAUAACGAGCUGUUCAGCGAUGCAGUGCCUUCUUCCCACCCUCACUUGUCUAAUAAGUCCCCUGCAGACAGGGAAGUGUUAUACUAAUCCCCACACACUUGCUGACUUCCACUGUGGCUAAACCACAGUAGCUGCUCUGUGAAUGUGUGCCUCCAAGCUUCUAGGCAGCAUAAGGGAAACAAUGACCAGCACAGCAUGCAUCUAAGUUUUUUUCUUACUAAAAUGUUCUAUAUUGUUGUACCUACCAAUGUUUGCGUGGCUCUUUAGAGUUUACAAGGGACUCUUCACUUGAUCCUUCCUUGUAACAGCACUGGAAGGUAAUUACUAUUAUGCUUCCCAUUUUGUGGAUUAUGAAUCUGAGCUCACAGGGGUUAAGUGUCUUGCUCAAGAGCUUCCUUUUUUUAAGGCUGGAAUUAAUUCUUGCUGUGCUAUCAUGAGGUAGCCCCCGGGCUAAAACUUCUGCACCUAGUAUGGGCUGAGGAAGUGUGAGAACUUCUGAAGGAAUUGGAAUUACCUCCCAGAAGAUCAACGGAAGGCCCAGACUGCAGCCAGGACGGCGAGGAUUGCCUGUGCCUGCAGCUCCCAAUUCAGCUGGGAUGCUGGUGCUGCAGCAGCUGUGUGACUUAGCACAUGUUUCUGGGUGGUCUGCCAGAUUGCCUGAAGUUGACAGCAUCACGCAGAGUGAGCUCCUGCGUGGGAUCCCUACAGUGUGUGGGCACAAAGCCUCUGGAAUACAGUUUCCAGGAUACAAGCUCGGUGAAAGCAGACAGCCUUCUCUCUUGUGGCCUGAAGAACGCCUGCCUCCAGAGAAGUCAUCAGGGAGGAGGGAGAGUAUGGUUGCUGUCUGAGCAGGUGUGGAUGCCAUGUCCAGCAAAGGGUUGCCAUGAAGCUUCACUGGGUUGA
rnacentral:lncRNA from 1 species